rnacentral:rRNA from 1 species
ACGGGUGAAUAACGCGUGAGUAACCUACCCUGUACACACGGAUAACAUACCGAAAGGUAUGCUAAUACGGGAUAAUAUAUUUGAGAGGCAUCUCUUAAAUAUCAAAGGUGAGCCAGUACAGGAUGGACCCGCGUCUGAUUAGCUAGUUGGUAAGGUAACGGCUUACCAAGGCAACGAUCAGUAGCCGACCUGAGAGGGUGAUCGGCCACAUUGGAACUGAGACACGGUCCAAACUCCUACGGGAGGCAGCAGUGGGGAAUAUUGCACAAUGGGCGAAAGCCUGAUGCAGCAACGCCGCGUGAGUGAUGAAGGCCUUCGGGUCGUAAAACUCUGUCCUCAAGGAAGAUAAUGACGGUACUUGAGGAGGAAGCCCCGGCUAACUACGUGCCAGCAGCCGCGGUAAUACGUAGGGGGCUAGCGUUAUCCGGAUUUACUGGGCGUAAAGGGUGCGUAGGCGGUCUUUCAAGUCAGGAGUGAAAGGCUACGGCUCAACCGUAGUAAGCUCUUGAAACUGGGAGACUUGAGUGCAGGAGAGGAGAGUGGAAUUCCUAGUGUAGCGGUGAAAUGCGUAGAUAUUAGGAGGAACACCAGUUGCGAAGGCGGCUCUCUGGACUGUAACUGACGCUGAGGCACGAAAGCGUGGGGAGCAAACAGGAUUAGAUACCCUGGUAGUCCACGCUGUAAA